CUGUCCCUAUCUACUAUCUAGCGAAACCACAGCCAAGGGAACGGGCUUGGUAGAAUCAGCGGGGAAAGAAGACCCUGUUGAGCUUGACUCUAGUCCGACUUUGUGAAGACACAUGAAGGGUGUAGCAUAGGUGGGAGCGCAAGCGCAAUUGAAAUACCACUACUUUUAUCGUUUCUUUACUUAUUCAGUCCAGCGGAGAGCGGGGCGCAAGCCCCUCGCUUCUGGAGUUAAGCGGCAACCGGCGCUCGUCGUCGGCCGCGAUCCGCUCUGAAGACAGUGUCAGGCGGGGAGUUUGACUGGGGCGGUACAUCUGUCAAAAGGUAACGCAGGUGUCCUAAGGCGAGCUCAGCGAGGACGGAAACCUCGCGUAGAGCAAAAGGGCAAAAGCUCGCUUGAUUUUGAUUUUCAGUACGAAUACAGACCGUGAAAGCGUGGCCUAUCGAUCCUUUUGACUUUAAGAGUUUUAAGCAAGAGGUGUCAGAAAAGUUACCACAGGGAUAACUGGCUUG
rnacentral:rRNA from 1 species